CUAGUGACCAUGACCUGUUCCUGCUGCAGCACAAGAAGUGGUCCAAAGCCGGCCUGUCGCGGGAGUGCUGUGACCUCCUCGGGGUUCUCCUCCACGAGAAGCCAGUCCGGCGACUUGGUCUGGGGCAAAUCAGGUCCCACAACUGGUUCACGGUCAUCUUGUAGGACCACUCCAGUCUGCGUCUCUCUUGCAGCUUUGCGUCUUGCGGGCUGCAGCGG